CGGUGCAAAGGCCAGGCCCCACGCAGCAGAGGUGCGGACAGCCUGGGCAGCUUCAGUUCUGCGUGGGAGGCUGUUGCCGGCCUUUGGCUCCGGGUGUGGGAUGGCAUUUGUGCUCUGACGUGGCCUGAGGGGAGGUGGGUGUUCACUGGUUGGGAAUCCUGGCCGCGCUGGUCUGUGGGCGAGGGCAUGUGGGGCCUCUUUGCUUUCCUCUGGGCACUGUGGCGUUUCCCAGAGCCUCCCGAGUGCCCUCUGUGCUGCACAGACGGGGUUUGAACCGGUGAUGGCGUCAGUGGUUCCCAGAAGCAUGGGGUGGUGAAUGGGGAACAGGCCCACUUCUGUUACUGCAUGUCCUUCUCAGUCCACAGGGGGUGCAGCUGGACGGAGCUGUCCUUCCCAGCUCUGUGCGCCCUUGCUCUCCUGCUGGGCUCCCAGCCAGUGGCCGGCCCCGGCAGACCCUCCCCGCUGGGCCUCUCGCCCUCCCUGCAGUUCUGGGCGACCUCCUGGUCCCAGAGCACGGGUGCUGGUGGGGUGGCUUGGCCCCCCCCCCCCCCCCCCCCGUGUCUUCUCCUUCCCUCAGGGGACGUCUCAGGGAGGGUGGCCCGGCUCUGCACUUUGGGGGGAGGCGGGAGGGGGAGCCCCUGCUGGCUGGCCCGGGUGCAGGGGAAUUCUGGGGCAGAGCUGGCGGCCCGGCCCUCCUGGAAGCGUGCCUCUCAGAUGUCGGCCGAGUGAGAGUGAAACGGGCUUCUUUCAGAAGCUGCUGCCUGGGGUUGACCUUAAAAUGUCUGAAAAAUGAGCAGACGGGGCGGGGGGCAGAGGAGCGGGUUGUAUUUGGUGAGGCGGCCCCGCCUUGGGAGGCUCUGGGCACAGCGGGAGCGGCACAUGCAGGGUGUCCCAUGUCCAGGUCCUGAGUGGGGACCCAGAUCACCCUUCCUGUUUCCUGUGCAAGCUGGUGUCUGUCCUCCAAAGGCCUGAGUGAGUAACGGAUGUGAGGAAGGAACCCGACUGGGAAUCCCCUGAGCUGCCAGAGUGAGUCACCCCUUUCCAGCUUGCCAGGCUGGGGGUGUCACCCCUUCAGAGCUGGCAGGCGGGGGUGGGGCGGCACUUCCUGGUCAGGGCCCUGCCACCCACGCUCCCUCUCCCUCGGUUCUCAACUCCGCUCACCUGGCAGGCUGUCAUCAGAGUCAAAUUAAAACACAUAGAUGCGUGCGUGUGCGGGAAGACCCUGCGAAAGCAGAAAUGUUUCCGAUAAGCAAAAGCGUUUUCACGCCAGAAGCACCGGCAAGUCCUCCGGGAUCGUUUCCGUGACGUCCGCAGGCAGCUGGCUGCCUUCCCGGGAGCCGAGACCUGGCUCAGGAGAAAUCUCUGGACGUGGGCAGGACCAGGUGGCUCCAGUCAGCCCUCCUGCCUGGCCCCCGCUCUGGAGGCGUGACCCUCCGGGAUCACUGCAGAGGCAGGCGGGCAGUUUCCGGAUCGUGCAACGGAACCUCUUCUUUGCAACAAGAACCAUUUCCUGCAGGGAGUUCACAGCGGAGGGUUCUCAAAGGGGAAGCGUUCCUACACCUGAGAGCUCGCCUGGCCACGAGCUGCCCGUGGGAGGUUUCCUCGGCUGCUGGUGGCCAGCUCGGCCUGGGGUUCAUGGAGCGUGCAGCAGAGGCAGGGCGGCCGGGCUGCUGUCUCUCAGGGAAAUUCCGACUUGGAAACCCAGUCAUGACGGACACAGCGUGAUGCAAGCACUUCCCACGCCAUGUGGACUGGUCACAUGACGCAGCUUAAGCGCCUGCCUGCUCUUCCGGAUGAGUCCCCUGGAGGGGAGGUGCUGGGUGUGCUGUGUGACCAGGGAGAAGAAUCUUACCUCUGAGUCUCCAUGCUCUUUUCCGCACAAUGAAGAAUGCAGUUCCCUGCGGACGCUGGUGCGAGACGAGGCGCUGGUUGCCAGGUACUGAGCAAUGCCCGCGCUCAGUGAGAGACCCUCCGUUGGGUCUUGCCACGAGAGAAGCAUGCUGGCCUCGGGUCAGCACUCCCGGCGCUGCUCCUUUCUUUCUGGGCAAGACCCCUGCCUUGUUUCCAGAUGUUUCCAUUGCGUGUUCCACAUUUCCGUGUGUCUGGAGGCCAUAGUUUGUGCAUUUUUGGUUUUGUUGGUGGUAAAAUUCGUAUAAAAUUCGCCAUUAAACCA